UAUCUCUCCGUACGGGGAAGGAUGAGAAGCUUCGACCAAGGUUCGAUUCGAGCGCAGCGAGAAAGCGUUGCCGUAGGCAACGACCCGAAGG
rnacentral:sRNA from 1 species